ensembl:lncRNA
GUCACCCUUGAUUUUGGGACCUUUCCAAUUUAAGUCAAUGUCUGGAAUGGAGAUUUGUGGACUUUUGAUAUGAGGCCCCUUCAGUUGUCCUGAAGGUCCUUUGACGCCAAUAUCAGGAGCAACAAUGUCCACUUUGGGUCCUUUGAGUUCUAUUUGUGGGCCCUUCAGACCACCUUCCAGUUUGGGCACAGAAACAUCCACAUCAUCUUUUAAUGAUGGCCCUUUCAGGCUCAGGUCGAAAUCGGGAACAGAAAUCUUUGGUGCCUUAAUGUCCAGUCCAGGAGCUCCAAUAUCUGCUUUAGGACCAGAUAUGUCAAGGGUGCCUUGGGGAAGACUGACGUCCAUAUCAGACCCUUCACCUUUGAAGCUGGGCACACCAAAUUUAGGUAUUUUCAAUUUGGGCAUUUUGAGUUCAGGCCCAUGAAGGUCAACAUUUGGUGCGCCAAUGUCUACUUUAGGUCCCUUGAUGCCGAUAGCUGGGCCCUUCAGUUCUCCUUCCAUUCUUGGUUUGGAAACACUCAUGUCCCCCUUGACUUUGGGGCCUUUCAAAUUUAGGUCAAUGUCUGGAAUGGAGAUUUGUGGACUUUUGAUAUGAGGCCCCUUCAGUUGACCUGAAGGAGCUUUGACGCCAAUGUCAGGAGCAACAAUAUCCACUUUGGGUCCUUUGAGUUCUAUCUGUGGGCCCUUCAGACCACCUUCUAGUUUGGGCACAGAAAUAUCCAUAUCACCCUUUAAUGAUGUCCCUUUUAGGCUCAAGUCAACAUCUGGCACAGCAACUUUGAUUGGGGUAGUUUUCCCAGAGGGCAUUGCGAUUUUUGGACCUUUGAAUGGUUCACCAAGGUCAACAUUGGUGCCCUCAAUACUCAUGCCAGGCCCUUUCAAGUCCCCGUCAAACUUUGGCCCCGAAAUAUAUAUAGCUCCUUUUCCUUUGGGACUUUUAAGAUUCAAGUCAAUAUCUGACAUAGAGAUUUUGGGUGUCUGUCCACUAAUCUCAAUCCCUCCUUUUGGAACACUGAUGUCUGCUGUGGGGCCUGAAACAGAAAAUUUAGGAAUAUCCAUAUGGUGUAUUUUAAAUUUGUCUUCACUGCCUUCAAAUCCAAUGUCUGGAGCCCCAAAAUCUAUCUUUGAUUUCACCCCACCUUUCAAAUCCAGUCCCUUUACACCUAUAUCCAACUUUGGUUCUAGUAUUCCUUUGCUUGCAACCGCAUCUUUGGGGCCUCCUGGAAAUCCUCCUGGGCCUUUGAUUGUCAUAGAUGGAGCUGUUGCAUCCAGUUGAGGAACCUCAAUGUCAGCAGCUGGAGAUGAUAUUCCAAAUUUGGGCAUUCUCAUUGCAGGGAAUGUAAGAUUUCUUUUGCUGUCAUCAUUGAGACCUGGACUUGUCAUCUUGCCUUCAAUGCCUGAGGCAGGGACCUUUACCCCUGCGCCUUGAAACCCUCCCAAUUCCCCUUUAAUUUUAGGACUUUUGAUAUCGAAUUUCAGUCGAUCCCCUGUUUUCCCAUUGAUUUCAGGGCUGCUGAAGUCUGUCUGACCUCUCAAACCUUUACCCAUAAUGUCAGAGACUUGGAUAUCAGGUUUUCCCAUCUUUGGCUGCCCCACAAGGGUAUCGGGAAUACCUGCCUCAAAUUUUUGGGUAGGCAAGUCAAUCGUUGGUCCAGAAUAUGUCACGUCAUAAAAUUUCCCUCCUUCGUGGGAGGUUUUUCCACAGCUGGUUCUCCCAGGUGAAUCCACGUGUGGGAUCUUGAUGACAGUUUUCCCAGGUUCUGAUUCAAUUCCAACAUUAGAAAUCUGGGUAAGUUCAUGUUUAGGAAUUUUGAUCUUGAACUCAGGACUGCUGAUGUCAAUCUCUUUGGCACCUUCGUGGCCGGUAACAUCAACAGUGUAAGCUGUGACUCUUUUGGUAACUGUGAUGGUCCUGCUUUGAGUUCCUGCAUGCUCAAUUUCUGUGCCAUCUUCUGAUUUAAGGCGAGGUUUAAUUUUUGUGGUGUAAAUCCGCUGGUACUCUUCAUCAUCUCCACUCUGAAAGGAAAAGGAAUUGUGCAUUAAACUUUCUGCUCAGACUAGUGCGCUUCAACAAUGAUGGUAGCAAUC